rnacentral:tRNA from 1 species
GACUCUGUAGUUGAUUCACAACAGUAAAUUGCAAGUUUAAAAGUGUGUAAACUUUAGCACCGGAGUUUGU